rnacentral:rRNA from 1 species
GUCCACGCCGUAAACGAUGUCGACUAGCCGUUGGCCCUAUUUACAGGGUUAGUGGCGCAGCUAACGCAUUAAGUCGACCGCCUGGGGAGUACGGCCGCAAGGUUAAAACUCAAAUGAAUUGACGGGGGCCCGCACAAGCGGUGGAGCAUGUGGUUUAAUUCGAUGCAACGCGAAGAACCUUACCUACCCUUGACAUCCAGAGAAUCUGUUAGAGAUAGUAGAGUGCCUUCGGGAACUCUGAGACAGGUGCUGCAUGGCUGUCGU